UAGGGAAUCUUCCGCAAUGGACGCAAGUCUGACGGAGCAACGCCGCGUGAGUGAAGAAGGAUUUCGGUUCGUAAAACUCUGUUGUUAGAGAAGAACAGCGCAUAGAGUAACUGUUAUGCGUGUGACGGUAUCUAACCAGAAAGCCACGGCUAACUACGUGCCAGCAGCCGCGGUAAUACGUAGGUGGCAAGCGUUGUCCGGAUUUAUUGGGCGUAAAGCGAGCGCAGGCGGUCAAUUAAGUCUGAUGUGAAAGCCACCGGCUCAACCGGGGAGGGUCAUUGGAAACUGGUUGACUUGAGUGCAGAAGAGGAGAGUGGAAUUCCAUGUGUAGCGGUGAAAUGCGUAGAUAUAUGGAGGAACACCAGUGGCGAAGGCGACUCUCUGGUCUGUAACUGACGCUGAGGCUCGAAAGCGUGGGUAGCAAACAGG
rnacentral:rRNA from 1 species